rnacentral:antisense_RNA from 1 species
UAUUGAUCAGCUGGGCACAUCUGCACACAUUUACAAUAUCUGCCACCUCUUUUAACCCUCAACCCCGCCCCACAAAAUGAGUGAUGGUGCUUGUUGAUUUGCAGAUUCACGGUCUGGUGAGACAAGUUUGAGAUCUCAUAUUUUCAGCUCACCCUUGAAAACCUUUCUUGGAUUUGACUGACCUUGAUGGCUCCCUGGAAUUUCACCUACAUUUUAUGGGAACUUCAACUCUCCAGAGAGAAGAGCUUUCAGAUAGCUACAGGACUUGCAACUAUGACUUUUAGCUUUCACUUUUGAAUGAGGCUCCAAAUGUCUCAAUGGUGGCGCUAUUUCCAGAUUUGGGCACUUCCUCCCUGACAUCAUGUCCAUGACCCUGCACCCUGCGGGGGGCUCGGAUAUGUUACGUCUGAUUCAAAGACAACCAAAAAGAAGGAAAUAAUGAUUUCACCAAGAAAGGACACAUACCAAGGCAGGAAUAGAGCCCUGCAAAGCUAAUCUGCUCAACCUUCACCUACUGGGUUCAAUGAAUAUGAAAAGCUGCCUUCCUGAAACUCUUCCUUCAAAGAGGAAAUGAUCUCCUGGAAUUCAAGCUUCUACAAGAAAACUGUGUGCAGGCCCAAGGAGAACAACUACAUGAAAUAAACCUUAUGUCUUCAGU